rnacentral:misc_RNA from 1 species
AAAGUCGUAACAAGGUCUCCGUAGGUGAACCUGCGGAGGGAUCAUUACAGAGUUCAAGCCCUCACGGGCAGAUCUCCCACCCUUGUGUAUUCAUACCUCUGUUGCUUUGGCAGGCCGCCGGGCUUCGACCUGGCCACCGGCUCUCGAGCUGGUGUGCGCCUGCCAGAGGACCUCCAAACUCUGGUUAUCUGUGUCGUCUGAGUAUUAUACAAUCGUUAAAACUUUCAACAACGGAUCUCUUGGUUCUG